rnacentral:rRNA from 1 species
GACGAACCGUGCGAACGUUGUUCGGAAUCACUGGGCUUAAAGGGCGCGUAGGCGGCUCGCCAAGUCGGGGGUGAAAUACUUCAGCUUAACUGGAGAAGUGCCUUCGAAACUGGCGGGCUUGAGGGAGGUAGGGGUCUGUGGAACUUCUGGUGGAGCGGUGAAAUGCGUUGAUAUCAGAAGGAACGCCGGUGGCGAAAGCGACGGACUGGACCUUUUCUGACGCUGAGGCGCGAAAGCUAGGGGAGCAAACGGG